rnacentral:rRNA from 1 species
UACGAAGGGGGCUAGCGUUGUUCGGAAUCACUGGGCGUAAAGGGCGCGUAGGCGGCUGUUCAAGUCGGGGGUGAAAGCCUGUGGCUCAACCACAGAAUUGCCUUCGAUACUGGACGGCUGGAGACCGGAAGAGGUCAGUGGAACUGCGAGUGUAGAGGUGAAAUUCGUAGAUAUUCGCAAGAACACCAGUGGCGAAGGCGGCUGACUGGUCCGGUUCUGACGCUGAGGCGCGAAAAGCUAGGGGGAGCGAACAGGG